GUGUCUUUGUUUAUGUUUUUUCCCUCCUUCUCUUCUUAGAGGGAAAGAAUGCUACAGCCAAAACAAAAACAGCUCCAAAAGCAAAAGCAAAAGAAGGCAUUAAGCUUUGCAAUCAGUGCACAAAGCAAAGCGCACAUACACACUCUAAAGCUAAAACAAAAUCAGAAACAGCUCCAAAAGAAAAAGUAAAAGAAUGCAUUCAACUUUCCAAUUAGUCCACAAAGCAAAGUGCACCAAAGCUUACCUCACUAAGCAAACACUAUGGAGAAGAUUCAACAUAUAUACCAUGCAUGCGUGUCAUAACCCUUUUGCUGGUUUCUUAGUUCAGAGCAAUGUCAGAGAUUGUGCCCGCAGAACCCAUUGAAGGCAUCUAUUUCGAGCGAGGAGAGACAUCAACAGCAUCAGCAUCGACAUCUGAGGCACCCCAUGUCACUUUGGCCAUUACCAAUGGCAGCAACAACCAGGAAUAUGCUCCAGAACCCUUUGACAGUGAAAGGUUGCCAACAGUUUUUGCUUCUGAAAUUCAAAGGUUCCUUCGAGUGGCCAACUUGCUUGGAAAGGAGGAGCCUCGUGUUGCAUAUCUUUGCCGUGUUCAUGCCUUUGUGAUUGCACACAACUUGGACAAAAAUUCUAGUGGAAGGGGUGUUAGACAAUUCAAAACUUCACUACUUCACAGACUUGAACAGGAUGAGCACGCUACAAAAAAGAGGGGAACAAGUGAUAUUCGUGAACUUAAGAGUGUUUACCGUGCCUACAGGGAUUAUUAUAUCAGACAUGAUAAAGCAUUCGAUCUAGAACAAAGUCGAAGACAGAAAUUGAUAAAUGCACGAGAUAUUGCUUCUGUUCUGUUUGAGGUGCUAAAGACAGUCACAGAUCCAGCUGCUUCUCAGGCACUUAUUCAAGGAAAUGCAAUCCAUAGAAAAACUGAAUUUAACAUUCUUCCACUUGAGCAAGGAGGCAUUCAGCAUGCCAUUAUGCAGCAACCUGAGAUUAAGGCUGCCAUUGCAGUUAUUCGCAACGUUCGUGGUUUACCCCCAGCCCAAGAUUUCAAGAAGCACGGAGCCUUUGUGGAUCUAUUUGAUUUUCUUCAGCAUUGUUUUGGAUUUCAGGAAGCCAAUGUUGCCAACCAAAGGGAACAUCUUAUUCUACUCCUAUCCAACAUGCAGACUCGUCAAACUCACAACCAGACAUCUGUUUUGAAGUUAGGGGAAGGAGGUGUGGAUGAACUGAUGAGAAAGUUUUUCAAAAACUAUACCAACUGGUGUAAGUUUUUAGAGAGGAAAAGCAAUAUCCGUUUACCUUUUGUGAAACAGGAAGCCCAGCAAUAUAAAAUUUUGUACAUUGGGCUUUACCUGCUCAUAUGGGGGGAGGCAGCUAAUUUGCGAUUCAUGCCAGAAUGUCUCUGCUAUAUUUUUCAUCAUAUGGCAUAUGAAUUGCACGGUAUUUUAAGUGGUGCUAUUAGCUUAACGACAUGGGAAAAGGUCAUGCCUGCAUAUGGAGGAGAACCAGAGUCUUUCCUUAACAAUGUUGUCACACCAAUAUACACUGUCAUAAGAAAGGAAGUACACAAUAGCAAUGGAGGGGCAGCUGAUCAUUCUAUAUGGAGAAACUAUGAUGAUCUGAAUGAGUAUUUCUGGUCUCCUGAUUGUUUCAAAAUUGGUUGGCCCAUGCGUCUAGAUCAUGACUUUUUCUUUGUGAAACUUAGAACUAAACCAAAAGCAGAUGUCAAGAAUGAUCCUAAUAGGUCACCUGGUAAAACAAAAGGAAAGAAAAAGAGAGAAAAGAGGGAUGAAGAAGAACCAGAGGAUAAAACAGAGGAAAUCCAUGAACCACAAUGGCUGGGGAAGACCAAUUUUGUAGAGAUUCGUUCAUUCUGGCAAAUUUUUAGAAGCUUUGAUAGAAUGUGGAGCUUUUAUAUUCUAUCCCUUCAGGCCAUAAUAAUCAUGGCUUGUCAUGACUUGGGAUCUCUACUACAGUUGUUUGAUGCAAUAGUAUUCGAGGAUAUAAUUAGCAUCUUCAUCACCUCUUCAGCUCUAAAACUUAUUCAAGCAAUUUUAGACAUUGCCCUUUUGUGGAAAGCAAGACAUACGAUGGAAUAUUCUCAAAAGGUGAAACUAGUGAUGAAGCUGGUCUUAGCAAUUAUAUGGACUAUUGUCCUUCCUGUAUGCUAUGCUAAUUCGAGAAGAAAAUAUACUUGCUAUUCCACCAAGUAUGGAAGUUUGAUUGAGGAAUGGUGCUUUACUUCCUAUAUGGUUGCAGCGGCAAUAUACCUGACAACUAAUGCAGUUGAAGUUGUGUUAUUUUUUGUCCCUGCUGUUGCCAAGUAUAUUGAGGUCUCUAAUUACAAGAUAUGCAGACUUUUGUCUUGGUGGACUCAGCCUAGAAUCUAUGUUGGUCGAGGGAUGCAAGAAGACCAGGUUUCAGUUUUAAAGUACACACUAUUCUGGAUAUUGGUGUUAUCGUGUAAAUUUUUGUUUAGCUACAGCUUUGAGAUAAAACCACUCAUAGCACCUACAAGACAGAUUAUGAAAAUUGGGGUACAUUAUGAAUGGCAUGAGCUUUUUCCAAAAGUCAAGAGCAAUGCUGGUGCAAUUGUAGCUGUAUGGAGCCCUGUAGUAAUUGUAUAUUUUAUGGACACACAAAUUUGGUAUUCUGUUUUCUGUACAAUAAUUGGUGGACUUUAUGGCAUUUUGCAUCACCUUGGUGAGAUAAGAACACUCGGAAUGCUGAGAAGUAGAUUUGACUCCUUACCUUCAGCAUUCAACGUCUGUCUGAUCCCACCAUCUUCCAAACGUGGUAAAAAGAAACGGAAAGGUCUCCUCAGCAAUAUAUUUCAGAAGUUACCGGAUGAAAAAAAUGCCACUGCCAAAUUUGUUGUAGUAUGGAAUCAAAUAGUAAAUCAACUACGUCUUGAAGAUUUGAUCAGUAACAGAGAGAUGGAUUUGAUGAUGAUGCCUGUGUCUUCUGAAUUGUUUUCUUCCAAGGUUCGUUGGCCUGUUUUCCUCCUGGCAAAUAAGUUUUCUACAGCUUUGACCAUUGCUAAAGAUUUUGAGGGAAAGGAAGAGAUUCUUGUGAAGAAAAUCACAAAAGACAAAUACAUGUUUUAUGCUGUAAGAGAGUGUUAUCAGUCUCUAAAAUAUGUUCUUGAAAUUCUGGUUGAGGGUAGCAUGGAGAAAAGGAUCAUAUGUGAUAUACUAAGCGAAAUUGAAAAGAGUAUCCAAGAAACAACUCUUCUACAGAACUUUAACAUGAAAGUUAUCCCAGCCCUACAUGCUAAAGUUGUUGAGCUAGCUGAAUUUCUGAUGGAAGGAGAAAAAGACAAUCAGCACAAAGUUGUGAAAGCCCUGCUAGAUAUAUUUGAAUUGGUGGCAAAUGAUAUGAUGGUUGAUUCCAGAAUAUUGGAUAUGCUCCACUUUCCCGAACAAAAUGAGUGUGGCUUUGUCUAUUUUAGAAAUGAUGAUCAACUAUUUGACACCGUGGAAAUGAAUAGGGAUUUUUAUCCAUUUUCCAAUGAGAAUUCUAUCCAAUUUCCAUUGCCAGAAAAUGGUCCUAUGAUGGAAAAGAUCAAGCGUUUUCAUUUGUUGCUUACGGUCAAAGAAACAGCAAUGGAUGUGCCUGCAAACUUAGAUGCUCGAAGACGCAUAUCAUUCUUUGCUACUUCCCUGUUCACAGAUAUGCCUGAUGCUCCAAAAGUUCACAAUAUGAUGCCAUUCUGUGUUAUAACUCCACAUUACAUUGAGGACAUUAAUUUUUCGGUUAAGGAGCUUGGUUCAGAUAAAGAGGAGGACUCCAUCAUCUUCUACAUGCAAAAGAUAUAUCCAGAUGAAUGGACAAAUUUUUUGGAACGCAUGGGUUGUGAAAACCGACGAAGUUUAGAAGAUGAACACAAAGUAGAAGAUCUUCGACUGUGGGCUUCAUUCCGUGGCCAGACGCUAAGCAGAACAGUUAGAGGAAUGAUGUACUACAGAGAAGCCUUAAAAUUACAAGCAUUUCUUGACAUGGCUGAAGAAGAAGAUAUUCUUGAGGGUUAUGAGACUGCUGAAAGAGGUAACCGUGCAUUGUUUGCUCGUCUAGAAGCACUAGCAGACAUGAAAUACACCUAUGUUAUUUCCUGUCAAUCAUUUGCAUCACAAAAGGCUAUGAAUGAUCCACGUUAUCAAGAUAUGAUCGACUUGAUGACAAGGUAUCCAUCUCUUCGUGUUGCCUAUGUUGAGGAAAAGGAAGAGAUAGUGCAGGGUAGGCCUCACAAAGUAUAUUCAUCUAAACUGGUUAAAGUUGUGAAUGGUUUUGAACAGACAAUAUAUCAGAUUAAACUACCAGGGACACCGCAUCUUGGAGAAGGGAAGCCUGAAAACCAAAACAAUGCAAUAAUAUUCACUCGUGGUGAAGCACUCCAAACAAUUGAUAUGAACCAAGAUAAUUACUUGGAAGAAGCUCUGAAGAUGAGAAACCUUCUCCAAGAAUUUCUUCGGCGCCAAGGAAGGCGUCCUCCUACAAUACUUGGCUUAAGGGAACACAUUUUCACAGGAAGUGUGUCUUCUCUGGCUUGGUUCAUGUCAUAUCAAGAGACUAGCUUUGUCACUAUUGGUCAAAGGCUUCUGGCUAAUCCUCUCAGGGUGCGGUUCCACUAUGGCCAUCCAGAUGUAUUUGAUAGGAUUUUUCAUAUCACAAGAGGAGGAAUAAGCAAAGCAUCUAAAACAAUUAACUUGAGUGAGGAUGUUUUUGCUGGAUUUAAUUCAACAUUAAGACGAGGAUGUAUUUCCUAUCAUGAAUACUUGCAAAUUGGCAAAGGUCGUGAUGUAGCUCUUAACCAAAUCUCAAAAUUUGAAGCUAAGGUAGCAAAUGGAAACUGUGAGCAAACUAUAAGCCGUGACAUAUUCCGCCUUGGUAGGCAAUUCGAUUUUUUCCGGAUGCUGUCGUGCUAUUUCACAACAAUUGGAUUUUACUUCAGCAGCUUGAUUUCAGUGAUAGGAAUCUAUGUAUUUCUCUACGGACAGCUAUACCUGGUGCUUAGUGGGUUGGAAAGAGCACUUAUCGUUGAGGCUCGACUCAAGAAUGUGCAAUCCUUAGAAACAGCUCUUGCCUCCCAGUCAUUCAUACAACUUGGACUUCUGACAGGCUUGCCAAUGGUGAUGGAAAUAGGACUUGAGAAAGGUUUCCUGACAGCUUUAAAGGACUUUGUACUCAUGCAAUUGCAGUUGGCUGCUGUUUUCUUCACUUUUGCCCUUGGAACAAAAACACAUUACUAUGGACGAACGCUUUUGCAUGGGGGAGCAAAGUACAGACCAACUGGACGUAAAGUUGUGUUCCAUGCUAGCUUCACUGAGAACUAUAGAUUGUAUUCAAGAAGCCACUUUGUUAAGGCAUUUGAGUUGUUGCUGCUGUUGAUUGUUUAUAACAUGUUCAGGAGGUCCUACCAAAGUAACAUGGCAUAUGUGUUGAUAACAUAUGCCAUUUGGUUCAUGUCUCUAACUUGGUUAUGUGCACCUUUUCUUUUUAACCCUGCUGGGUUCAGUUGGACCAAGACGGUAGAUGACUGGAAAGAGUGGAAUAAAUGGAUCAGACAACAGGGUGGUAUAGGAAUUCAACAAGACAAAAGUUGGCAUUCUUGGUGGUAUGAUGAGCAAACUCAUCUUCGUUGGUCAGGUCUUGCUUCUAGGAUUACUGAAAUAUUGCUUUCUCUCCGUUUUUUCAUCUAUCAGUAUGGUCUGGUCUAUCAUCUAGACAUCUCUCAGCAUAGCAAGAACUUUCUGGUUUAUGUCCUUUCAUGGAUUGUGAUUGUUGCAAUUUUCCUCUUGGUGAAGGCCGUUAACAUGGGAAGGAAACUACUCAGUGCUAACUAUCAGCUUGGAUUCAGACUUUUCAAAGCAUUCUUGUUCCUGGCUGUUCUUGCCCUCAUCUUUACUCUUUCUAUUAUAUGUGAAUUGUCAUUGAUGGACCUUUUCGUUUGCUGUCUAGCAUUCAUGCCAACUGCAUGGGGAUUGAUACUGAUUGCUCAAGCUGUAAGGCCAAAGAUAGAGCACACGGGGCUGUGGGACUUCACACGUGCACUUGCUAGAGAAUUUGAUUAUGGAAUGGGGAUAGUUCUUUUCGGACCAAUAGCUAUUUUGGCAUGGCUACCAAUCAUUAAAGCCUUCCAUGCUCGUUUUCUUUUCAAUGAGGCAUUCAAAAGGCACUUGCAAAUUCAACCAAUUCUAUCCGGAAAAAAGAAGAAGCACAGGACUUGACCAUGAUUCUUGUAAUUGUUUGUGUACAGUCAAAGAUUAAUUCUUGAUAUUCUAUAGGAAGAUUUUAGGAACUAGGUAUACUUUUGCUAUCAAAGUUGGUCCUGACGGUACUAUUGAUCAUCUCAAAGCUCACUUCAUAACCAAAGUGAUGACAAACCCCUCGGCCAUGGCCAAGUACAUACAUGAGAAUAUACUUAAUCUAGGAAGGUAGGCCCAAACACUUAUCCUCUUGGGCCAUCAAUAGGUUUUAGGCUUAAUAAUAUAUGGUUUUCUUUUGGGAAUGGGCCAAGUAAUCUAAAGUUUUCUUUAGGUAAUGUGUUUAGACUUUAGGUUUAUAAUGUAGGGUUUUGGGCCUUGAGGAGACACAUAAGUCCAGGGUUUUUACUCUAGCUUGGUGUGCAAGCCUUUUAAAAGAGUGGUCUCCUUAUGCGCACAUGAGAUGAUGAGAGAGAUCAUGCCAUAUGGAAAGUAUUUUAGAAGCUUGUGGUCUUAUGGGUAGAAUGAUCUCUUUUUUUAAGACACCUCUAGGGUUUCUUAGUUUAUAAAUAGAUAUGUCUCCCCAUAUAAAAUAACUUUUGAGUUGAGUAAUGUUACUCUAUCAUUUUUAUGUCAUACUAUUCUCUUAAGUCUCCAAAGGCUAAAAUACACCUUCUAGGUUUCUUCUAACCACCUUUCCUCUUGAAUUGACUCAAUAUCUCUUAAGAGCACCUGAUGGCCUUCCUCCAAGCUUGCUUGUGUCCAUGGUGGAAUAUGAUGGAGACAUAAUGAAAAGUGGUGCAAAAUCAAAGAAAAUGAAGGAAAAUGAGAGUGUUUUGGUUUGAUUUAGGUGAGGUUUCCUAGAGAGAGGUGAGGUCAACCCAUGGAGAAGGAAACUAGAGACUCUAGAAAGGAUUCUACUUUAAGGUGAGCUCAAACAUGAGGCAUGUGCACACAAUUGAGCAGCAUUUCAUUACUCAAAUUCAAACUGAAAAAUACAUCAUUGAAAACCUUUAAUUAUAGGUCAAGCUAACCCUAGAGUGGUCUCCAAAAAGGAGAAAUAGAUUUGAAUUCAAAACUAGUAUAGAAUUUGAAAAAUGAAGUUAAAAUGGAGCUUAAUUUUAGAGUGUCAUUUUGUUAAAGAGAAGCUAAUGUCCAAAGAUUUUAUUACUGAGUUUAUCAACUCUAAUAAAAAACUCGCAAAGGACCUAGAAUUCAUGUUCCAAGCUUAAUACAUAUAGUCUAUAGGUUCCAAUGGGAGGGAAAAUGUUGAAAUGUAAUGUUUCUUCAAUAUCAUUAUUUAUGUAUAUGUAUGGGAAUCCAAAUGUUAGGUUAGGGUUUUAGAAAUGUCUGACCUUUUGUAUUAUGCACCUUUGUACUCUAUAAAUAUAGUAGUAAAUUGUAACAGUGUAAUAAGAAAAACUACAGUCUUACUUAAUUCAAUUCAAGUUUUUCAACUGCGUACAAGUAGAAUCAGGUAAUCAUUUUACACUGUCAAUAUACUUCUUUUAUCUGUGGCUGUUUUUGCUUUGAUAGGCACCAAGUGCACUAAGACCCUUGGCCAUCUUGAAUAUUGCAUCAUUCAAAAAUGGUUAAUAAGCUCUCA